UGUCUGCCGCACCAGUCUUUAGGC
rnacentral:piRNA from 1 species